UAAAAUAUGAUCUAACAUUAAAUAAUUUCAAUGAAUUGAUUAUAAUUGAGUUGAUUAAACCGUGAUAUUCUCUAUCAAAUUCAAAAUUUUGGAUAACUUUGCCCCCACCAAAAUUUUCAAUUGUUUUUUGUUUUACUUUUGUUUUCCACGUGUACACAACACUUUUAAAAUUAACACUUUCAGUUUCCACUUCUUCGGACUUCUUCCAUUUUUUAUGCUCUUUAUAUCUAACCGGAAUUUUUCUCCGACGUUACCACCGUACCGGAAUUCUCCUUCCGCCGUCGUCUUCUUCUCCGUCAAAGGUUAGUCUCGUAUUCCUUUAUUUUUGUUCAAUUCAUGCUUCAAAACUGAGAAUCCCUAUUUUUUGUUGAAAACCCUAUAUUUUAAUUCUCCUGUUAAAUCUGAAAAUACACCGUUUUGGAAUAGAUUGUGUUGUUUAAAAUUUUCACCUUACUCAGUUCAUAUUGUAAAUUCAAUUGAGAACGUUUCACUUGAAAAUUAUAAUCUCUACCUUCUUCUCUAAUCCGAGAAAAUAUCACUUUUGCCUUGAAAUGAAUUGAUUUCCACUUGUUCUUCAUUUUUUAUUUAGUCUUAAUUUUAUUUAGCCUUUUCUAUUAUUCCUCCAUAAUCUGAAACUAAGCUCAUUUUUGUUAAAGAAUGUUCAUGUUAAAUUUCUGAUUUGGGUACUUUUGCUAUUGUUUGAUUGUUGCGUUAUUUUUUGGACCGCUGAUCACUCUUCCCUGUGAUUGUCGCGAGCUUCAAUACCCGAGGGCUCGGGAUGUGAUUAUAUUCAGUUAACUUAUUUUUUCAAAUUAUUAUUCAAGUGUCCAUUUGUGUGCAAGUGCUUCAUAGUCUUGAGGAAGCUUCUUCACCCAUUUGGAUUUGGGAUAAGAGUGGAGUCAGUGUUGCAGUUCCAUUUGUUAAGCGAAAAUGGUAAAUUUAAGGUUGGAGAAGUUAUGUAUUAGGUGUAAAAUUGGGAUAAACUGUGAAGGGUCUUUGUUAAUAAUAGGCUCUAAGUAUAGCCUGAAAUCUUAGUUGUCUAAGAAGGUAAGGACUUUUACGUUAUGUGCAUCUGUUUUUGGACUUAGAUUCGAUAGAGAUGAAAUUAGAUUCUAAAAUGGUAUUAAUUAUAUUCAUGUGUUGGAUUUGAAAAAUUAUGAAAUAAAGAUUAUUCCUUUAUAUAUUUUAAAUUGGUUAGCAAAUUGGGUGUUGGAUAACACACAUUAGUAAGUUCUUUUGAUAGAAAUGACAAACGGAUUGCUUAACCUUCACGAUUGGAUACUAUUUGAGUAGUCUUCUGUUGGUUUAUAUUAAAAAUAAGCUGCUAAGUGCUAUCUUAUUCUAGUUAUAAGGAAUACAAAUGUAACCUUGUUAGAUAAAACACGUAAAUAUUAUCGAGCAGUUUUCAAUUUAAAAUGUCAUACGGCAAGAUCUGGUUCAACCUUCUUCAAUACAUGAAUUUAUGUUACUUCCUGUUAAAUCAGAAUAAAUGAACUACGGAUCAUCUGAUAACAGUAGCCUUUUAAUGUGCCUGCUGUUCAGAAUUUAGAGUUUAGAACAACAUAUACUAUCUUAAUAAAACUCUUCAAUCACACCUUAUUGUUGUGUUUCUUGUCCUUAAUAGAUUCUCAUCAUAAAUCCUUUAUUUAUUUCAGCAUGAAGGCACUGGUCUUGGUCAUUGCAUUGUCUGGAAAUUGGUGAGUUAGAUCUUAAACAAGUAAAGUGUGAUAUCAUUCAUAAUAAAUGGUAUUGAUAAAAUGACACUGUUGUUUAUUUUAGAAGAGUAAAAUAGAGUUCCAUGCCAUGGUUUAGAAAUUGACUUUGAGUAAGUCCUUUUCUAUUACUAAGUAGAUGGUGAGUUUGUUCCCAUCAUAGUGUUUAUUGUUGAUUGCCGAAAAACGUGAGAAUAUUUAGGAGUAUGUUGAAACCAAAUUUGAGUUAUGCAAAAUCGACAGAGAUUGUAUAUCGCUAAACAUGAAGUUGAAGUAGACAUUGACGAUUAACUAGAUGACAUGAUUAGUGAUAUUGGUUAAAAGUCUUUUCAACAACAUAUGGAUGAUACUUUGAGCAAAGCAGUGACACGGAAUAGUUCUUUUAUUUGAUGUACAAUAUUUUUCACACAGUUUAUUGUUGAUGGACAAAAGUUUCAGUGAAAUUUUUAACUUGUUUAAAGACAUGCUUUCAAAAUUUAAUACAUUGUCGUAUUGUAAUUAUGAGUAGAAGAAGAUUUUUUGACCGAUGGAUAUCAGGUAUUAGAAAUUGUGUAUGCCCUUAUGAUUAUAUAUUGAGAAAAAAAAUUGAAGAGUGUGAUGAGUCCCUUGGUGUGGGGUAUUACACAUCAAAUUGAAUGAUGUUAAUUCUAAAUGUGGUAUGAGCAUCAUGGGUCCGAUUGAGAUGUAGUGCUAUGGAUAUUUUCACACCCUGAUUGAUUAUUUGCAAUGGAAAAAGAUUAGAUCUUUGUUUUUAGAUUUUGACAAUUUGCCAAAAAAGCCUUAAGUUUGGUCUUUCUACAGAAGGAAUGAAUGUAGCAACCAUAAAUCAUGGACUCAUUCUGCUUAUAAUAUACAACUUAUCUUCUUUGUUGUGCAUGAGAAGAUAUUCUUUCAAUGGUCAAAAACACUUGUGGAGAUUAUUUCAGGUAAAAUAUUAGUUAAUAUAUAUUUUUCGAUUUACAUUAGAAAGAGUAUAAAAAUGGUGACUAACGGCUUAUCGUAAUUGUUUGGGGUUGAUAUUGACAGAUCCAUAAACCAAGAUGUUGCAACCAAAAGGUUCCAGUUUCAACUUGAUUUUGUUCAACAAUUGGUUUUGAAGUCAACACUGCAAAGCUGGAAUUCGAAUAUUGUGGUGGAAUGAUUUUUGUUCGUUGGAUAAAAGUCGAACAAAAAUAUCAUUACCCUAUUAUGACACAAAUUUACAACAUAUAUAUUGUUGUUUCAUGAACAUUUUAUUUUGUCAAAUAGAAGUGGUGGGAAUAGCACACCCUAAAUGUGAAAAAUAGAGAUAAUUGUGGGUUCGAACUUGAGCCUUUUAACACAUUAAAGAGAUACUUGUUAAGAUCAUGCAAACAUUUAUUUAGUUAUAAAAGUUACAAUAUACAAUAUCUAACCAGUAAGUUCACAUUUUGUAUUCAUUUUUAGUCCCAAAAUGUGUUCUUUAUGUACAGAAACUAAAUUUCAACUUCUAAGUAGGUUAAUGUCAAAAAAGAAAAAA
rnacentral:lncRNA from 1 species